rnacentral:lncRNA from 1 species
UUGUAUUUCACAGGAAUCUCAGAGAACACUCGAAGCACCAAUUACUACAAGGCAAUUACAAACAAGAACUGAUUGAUGGGUACAGAAACUUAGAAUUCAACGGAUCUCAUGGAAGCACCAUUUCAAAAAUGUCAUAACAAUAAAUAAAUAAACAUCGAAGUUGUA